rnacentral:rRNA from 1 species
GAUGAACGCUGGCGGCGUGCUUAACACAUGCAAGUCGAACGGAAAGGCUCCUGCUUGCAGGGGUACUCGAUUGGCGAACGGGUGAGUAACACGUGGGUGAUCUGCCCUGCACUUCGGGAUAAGCCUGGGAAACUGGGUCUAAUACCGGAUAGGACGAUGGUUUGGAUGCCAUUGUGGAAAGUUUUUUCGGUGUGGGAUGAGCUCGCGGCCUAUCAGCUUGUUGGUGGGGUAAUGGCCUACAAAGGCGUCGACGGGUAGCCGGCCUGAGAGGGUGUACGGCCCCCUUGGGACUGAGAUACGGACCAGACUCCUACGGGAGGCAGCAGUGGGGAGUAUUGCACAAUGGGCGCAAGCGUGAUGCAGCGACGCUGCGUGGGGAAUGACGGCCUUCGGGUUGUAAACUCCUUUCGAUAGGGACGAAGCGCAAGUGACGGUACCUGGAGAAGAAGCACCGGCUAACUACGUG